rnacentral:lncRNA from 1 species
UCCAAUUUCUCUUAUUAUUUCUUCAUUUUUCUUCUUCUUCCCUCUUUUCUUUCUCCUCCCAGCAGCUCCGCCCGUCGCCGCCCGCCAAAAUUCACCACCGGCACGGCCAACGUCCAAAGCCCAUAAAACCUACACCAAUAUCUUCCUCUCUUUACCCCCUCUUCUAAUCUGAGCCCAAAACCCCCUCUAAAUUCCGUGAAAUCGAAACCCUAGAUAGAAGACUCUUACUUCCCUCUUCGAUUUCACGGCAAAUCCGACCAUCCAACCACACAAACUUCGCGUAAACAUGUAGAUUUCCGCGACAUCUACACUUUCCCUCUAGUUUACCUCCGAAACACGACCAUCACCGUCCGAACACCACCGCUGCCGUUGUCCACUCUACUUCCACCCCUCAACCACUCAAGAUCUCCGAACUUUUUGCAUUCAACCGUCCUCAAACGAGUUUUUAUGGUCGAUAGUAGUUCAUCAAGUCUUUAGUUUUGACGAAGAUCGAUAAUAGAAUCCUGCUCGAACUGAACUACUUUCGGACCUUCACACUUGCGGCACCGCUGCCUCCACACCACCACCACCCCAAUGGUCAAAUUAGGUAAAAUCAAUUCCCUUUCUCCAUGUCCCUGAUUUUUUUUUUGUUUGCCUUUAUUGCUAGUGUUUUUGUUUUAUUAAUUAUUCUAGUUUCAGUUUAGUUUAAUGAUUAAUCUAAUUUUUGAUGUUGUCAUUGUUUAAUUUAAUCGAUUCUAUUUAGUUUGUCUCACUCUGAACAAGUUUUAGUUUUAUUUUGUGUAGUUAAGUUUGAAUUAUGUUUUUAAAAUUUCACUUUAGUUUAACUAUUAAGGUCUUCAUUAGUCAAUAGAUGUCUUUGCUUAAUCUUUAAGUUCUGUUUCUCUUUGUUGGUUAAUGGUUCGAUUAGAUAGUAGUUUCUUGUUACUCAGUUUUUAUUUGGUUUGAGCAAGUUAGUUUGGUAUUGUUGUUGAUAAAAUCUGAAGGUUAGGCAAGUUGAUCAUGUUUUAAGGUACAAAGUUGUUCACUUUAACACCUAAGAUGGCUGAGAGUAUUAUUGUCCUCCAUGCUUCUGCCACGUUACGUUGUAGGACUGUCCUUUGCCCCUUUGGACAGUCCUAGAGCAAUGUUUGGUGAACAAAAGUCUGUCCUUUUAGACCGACUUUUGGUAAAUCAAAAACUGUCCAAAAGUGACAUUCUUUGCUCACUUAAGGGCUGCUCCUUUCAUAUUUUAGGGGGACAGAAUCUAUCACACUGGGAUACAUUUUUAUAAUUGCUUGAACACACAAAAAUAUAAAAAUAAAUUCAGCAGUUGAACGCAUAAAAAGUAAACUGAAAAUCAUGAGUUCUUGGUUGAAUCUUAGAGUGCAAAAUCUUUCAAAAACAUAUAAGAGUCUUAGAGUUUGAUUAUUGAGUUCUUUCUUCUAAAGAAUCACUAUUUUUAGUGAGAUUUUUGGGCUGUUUUAACACGAAUUCACUGUUGUUUCGUUGCUGUUUUUGCUAUCUUUGUUGCUGAUUUUCUGCCCUUUCACCACUAAAUUUCAUCUUGUGACAAAUCAGGUAACCGUUGAAACUUUGCAUUGAAGAUUCUUGAUGACGAUAAAAAUAUUUGAACCCAUUUGUUUAGUGGAACAUGUAAUAUCUGAUUUUGUCCCAAGAUAAUUGUUGCAUCAAUAUCAUAGCACGUAAAUAUGUUGUAUUUAGCCAUAAUAUUUAUUUUUGUUCACAAAACAAUACUCUAUUAGUGUGUUAUUUAGUUGCUAAAAGGUCCAUCAGUUUUGCUUACUCCAUUUUUGUUAAGCUUAACAAAUGUUCCAUUACCUAUUUGUUCUUCUAUCAUAUCCUUUUUCUUCUUAAAAUUACAUUGUCUCUGUUUGUUUAUCUAUUUUCAUUAUUUGUUAUGUACUUUGAGUUGGAUGAUAGUUUAGAUGUCAUUUUUAGUGUCUUAUGACUCUUUUGAUAAAUGGUGAAAGGAUUAAUUUUGAAGUAAGAAAAUUUUCUUAUAAGCUAAAAAUUAAGUAGAUCCAGGUGUUUUAGUUUGGUAUAGUGGUUAAAUUUUGUCGUGCGUCCAUUUUAUCUCCUGACUUGUUGUAUUUGUAUUACUAAUAAGCUUAGAGUUUUAUCACUCUUAUUUUCUUGCCGGAUUAUUUUUAGGCUAAUUGGAUUGUAGUAUUUAUCUAUUAGUAGUAGUUUUUCUAAAACUAAUAGGCUAUGAUGCAUCAUGUAAGAGAUAAAGUAAUUGGGCCCAAUAAGUUAGGUCCAGGUCUGAAGCACUGAAGCAUGCUAGAUGGCCCAUAUUUUUUAUAACUAUAUGCACCAAGAAACUCAAUUUGUGCACGCCCAAUGACAAUUAAGAUAGAUGGCCCAUUUCUUUCUUCUUUAUAAGAAAAGGAAGAUUUUCAUUUCUAUACCAAAUUUCAUACUAUAUUAUAAAAAAAUGGUCAUGAUAUCUAUAUUACACCCGUAGUUCAUAUUUUAUUUCAUUCUAUGUACCAAAUCAGUCCCACCCGCCAACCACCCCAAAAAGGGAAGAAUAUAUCUAGUUGUGUUGGUUAAAGUGGAAACAUGUGAUAAUUGGGGUAGGCUUUAAUUAUGGAUGUUAAAGUGAAAAGGGAAAAGGGAUAAAAGUAUGUUUUCUACCAUUCAAUAAAGAAAAAAUUGGGAGUGAAUGGCUCUGUUAUGUCUUAACACCAUUUUCUGAAACAAUACACAUCAACAUAUUUUCUUAAGCUACAUUUGCUACAACUAGAAUAAAUAAAAGGGUAGAAGAGCUUUAAGAAUGAAAAUGUUGGGAGUGAAUAAAUUCUACUGUCCAAUACCAUUUUCUAAAACAGAACCCUCCAUUAUUUUCUACAUAAUUGCUCGCAAUAAAAAAUAUAAUGAUAAUCUAACGAGUUUGGAGAUUAUAGGUAAAAAAGUUUAUUUGUAGAUAAAUUGUAGUUUGGUAAUGAGAUGUACAUGGUAAGUAGACAACAUGUUUAUAAUUUAUUUAUUUAAAUAAUUAUAGUAUCUAUUUUUUAUGUUUGUUAUUUAGUCCGAAUGCAGCUGACCAUUUUAAUACGGUUAUAACAAAGAACUUAAAUGCUACAAUUAUAGAUAUUAAAGUAAAAAAGGCAAAACUAAAAGUGGGUAUUCUACAAUUCAAGAAAGAAAUAUUGGGAGUGAAUUAUUCUACCGCCCAACACUAAUUUUGAAACGGAGGAAUGAUUUCCUUAAGCUACAUUAACUACAAUUGUCUUGACUUGUACUGUCUAUUAUAGUUUAAUUAUUGUUAAUUAUUGUACUUUGAUAAUAAACUGUAGAUGGUAUGUAGAUAACUUAUGGAUAAUAUAUUUAUAUAAAAAUAAUAGUCAUUAUGCACAAAACAAUUAUUUUACAUUAGCAUAAAAUAUAAGCAUUAAUCUACAUAAUACCUACAUAAUUUUUCAAAUAAAAAAAAAAGAAACAAUAAGAACUACAGAAUGACUACAAAAUAACAACAUUUGUAAAAAUAUAGAAAAUUGCAACUACAAUUAAUCUACAAAAUUAAGACAACUAAUCGACAUGACUACAAAAUAACUACAUUUAUGAGCUAUAGAUAUCACAACUAAAAUUAAUACACAUAAUUAACACAGCUAAUCUACAUGAUUAUAAAAUAAUUAUAAAAAUAAACUUUAGAUAAUAACAAUUACAGUUACUCUAUAAAAUUAAGAUUACUAGACUAUAAUUUAGCAACCAAAUUAAAACAUAGAUUUUUACACCCUUAAUGUACAUAAUACCUACAUAAUUCUUUAAAAAAAACAGUAAGAACUACAGAAUGACCAUAAAAUAACAACAUUUGUAAAAAAUAUAGAAAAUAGCAACUACAAUUAAUCUACAAAAAUAAAGACAACUAAUCGACAUGACUACAAAAUAACUACAUUUAUAAGUUGUAGAUAAUUGCAACUAUAAUUUAUACACUAAAUUAAUACAGCUAGUUUGCAUAAGCACUAAUCUACACAAUAAGCGUUAAUCUACACAAUACCUAUAUAAUUCUUCAAAACAAAAUAGUAAGAACUACAUAAUGACUACAAAAUAACUAUAUUUGUAAAGUUGUAAAAAAAUAGCUGGUUGCGGACUAUCAUCACUAUAGCGGACUUGAUGGAGAGCUUAGAGAAGUUUAGAAGACUAGAUCUGCUACUCGUUUUGAGUUCUUCACCUCGAUUGAUCAAGACUAACGGUUGGAACUAGCUCUGCUUCAACUUCCUAUAUCUCUUGGAACUUGCUCUGCCUCAACUUCCCUUGUGAUGGAAUCCAACUCCGCCUUUCACUCGCUCAUAUUCUUUCUAGCCAGAGGAAUGGCUUCCACGCAUUUCCAUUAUGGUGUAUCUGACAACAAUGAAGCUGAACUCCUUUCAUUUUGCAGUGAAUAAGCAUCGAUUUUUUGGUUGAAAGCCAUAAAUGUCUUAUCUUCAGAAGAAACAUAGAGAAAGAAGGAGAGAUAGUGAGAAAGAAUGAUAUGUAGAGAGAGAAAGAAGGAAAGAGAGAGUGAGAAAGAAAUGAGGGAGGAAAAGAUAGGGUAGAAUGUAGGGGAGGUAAAAGAUAUUGGUAUUUUAUUGUAAUGGGUGGGUUAGAUCAUAAUUGUGUCCAAUUUAGAGGACCCAUUAAUCAUAUCAUAAUUUUGAAUUAUCGUAUAUAAAUUUUAAUUAAGUUUACUUUUUG